rnacentral:rRNA from 1 species
GUGAACGCUGGCGGUAGGCCUAACACAUGCCAGUCGAACGGCAGCACAGUAAGAGCUUGCUCUUACGGGUGGCGAGUGGCGGACGGGUGAGGAAUACAUCGGAAUCUACUUUUUCGUGAGGGAUAACGUAGGGAAACUUACGCUAAUACCGCAUACGACCUACGGGUGAAAGCAGGGGAUCUUCGGACCUUGCGCGAUUGAAUGAGCCGAUGUCGGAUUAGCUAGUUGGCGGGGUAAAGGCCCACCAAGGCGACGAUCCGUAGCUGGUCUGAGAGGAUGAUCAGCCACACUGGAACUGAGACACGGUCCAGACUCCUACGGGAGGCAGCAGUGGGGAAUAUUGGACAAUGGGCGCAAGCCUGAUCCAGCCAUACCGCGUGGGUGAAGAAGGCCUUCGGGUUGUAAAGCCCUUUUGUUGGGAAAGAAAAGCAGCAGGUUAAUACCCCGCUGUUCUGACGGUACCCAAAGAAUAAGCACCGGCUAACUUCGUG